UACAGAGGGUGCAAGCGUUAAUCGGAAUUACUGGGCGUAAAGCGAGCGCAGGCGGUCUUUUAAGUCUGAUGUGAAAGCCCCCGGCUUAACCGGGGAGGGUCAUUGGAAACUGGGAGACUUGAGUGCAGAAGAGGAAAGCGGAAUUCCAUGUGUAGCGGUGAAAUGCGUAGAUAUAUGGAGGAACACCAGUGGCGAAGGCGGCUUUCUGGUCUGUAACUGACGCUGAGGCUCGAAAGCGUGGGGAGCAAACAGGAUUAGAUCCCCUGGUAGUCCACGCCGUAAACGAUGAGUGCUAAGUGUUGGAGGGUUUCCGCCCUUCAGUGCUGCAGCAAACGCAUUAAGCACUCCGCCUGGGGAGUACGACCGCAAGGUUGAA
rnacentral:rRNA from 1 species